rnacentral:rRNA from 1 species
AGAGUUUGAUCCUGGCUCAGAUUGAACGCUGGCGGCAGGCCUAACACAUGCAAGUCGAGCGGAUGAUGGGAGCUUGCUCCUGGAUUCAGCGGCGGACGGGUGAGUAAUGCCUAGGAAUCUGCCUGGUAGUGGGGGACAACGUUUCGAAAGGAACGCUAAUACCGCAUACGUCCUACGGGAGAAAGCAGGGGACCUUCGGGCCUUGCGCUAUCAGAUGAGCCUAGGUCGGAUUAGCUUGUUGGUGAGGUAAUGGCUCACCAAGGCGACGAUCCGUAACUGGUCUGAGAGGAUGAUCAGUCACACUGGAACUGAGACACGGUCCAGACUCCUACGGGAGGCAGCAGUGGGGAAUAUUGGACAAUGGGCGAAAGCCUGAUCCAGCCAUGCCGCGUGUGUGAAGAAGGUCUUCGGAUUGUAGAGCACUUUAAGUUGGGAGGAAGGGUUGUAGAUUAAUACUCUGCAAUUUUGACGUUACCGACAGAAUAAGCACCGGCUAACUCUGUGCCAGCAGCCGCGGUAAUACAGAGGGUGCAAGCGUUAAUCGGAAUUACUGGGCGUAAAGCGCGCGUAGGUGGUUUGUUAAGUUGGAUGUGAAAGCCCCGGGCUCAACCUGGGAACUGCAUCCAAAACUGGCAAGCUAGAGUACGGUAGAGGGUGGUGGAAUUUCCUGUGUAGCGGUGAAAUGCGUAGAUAUAGGAAGGAACACCAGUGGCGAAGGCGACCACCUGGACUGAUACUGACACUGAGGUGCGAAAGCGUGGGGAGCAAACAGGAUUAGAUACCCUGGUAGUCCACGCCGUAAACGAUGUCAACUAGCCGUUGGAAUCCUUGAGAUUUUAGUGGCGCAGCUAACCGCAUUAAGUGCCCGCCUGG